GUGGCGAACGGGUGAGUAACACGUGGGUGAUCUGCCCUGCACUUCGGGAUAAGCCCGGGAAACUGGGUCUAAUACCGGAUAGUACUGCGCGGUGCAUGCCGUGUGGUGGAAAGAUUUAUCGGUGCAGGAUGGGCCCGCGGCCUAUCAGCUUGUUGGUGGGGUAAUGGCCUACCAAGGCGACGACGGGUAGCCGGCCUGAGAGGGCGACCGGCCACACUGGGACUGAGACACGGCCCAGACUCCUACGGGAGGCAGCAGUGGGGAAUAUUGCACAAUGGGCGCAAGCCUGAUGCAGCGACGCCGCGUGAGGGAUGACGGCCUUCGGGUUGUAAACCUCUUUCAGCAGGGACGAAGCGCAAGUGACGGUACCUGCAGAAGAAGCACCGGCCAACUACGUGCCAGCAGCCGCGGUAAUACGUAGGGUGCAAGCGUUGUCCGGAAUUACUGGGCGUAAAGAGCUCGUAGGCGGUUUGUCGCGUCGUCUGUGAAAACCAGCAGCUCAACUGUUGGCUUGCAGGCGAUACGGGCAGACUUGAGUAUUUCAGGGGAGACUGGAAUUCCUGGUGUAGCGGUGAAAUGCGCAGAUAUCAGGAGGAACACCGGUGGCGAAGGCGGGUCUCUGGGAAAUAACUGACGCUGAG
rnacentral:rRNA from 1 species